CCAGCCAUGCCGCGUGAGUGAAGAAGGCCUUCGGGUUGUAAAGCUCUUUCGGCGGGGACGAAACGGUCCGUGCUAACACCACGGACUAAUGACGGUACCCGCAGAAGAAGCACCGGCUAACUACGUGCCAGCAGCCGCGGUAAUACGUAGGGUGCAGGCGUUAAUCGGAAUUACUGGGCGUAAAGCGUGCGUAGGCGGUUUGUUAAGACAGGUGUGAAAUCCCCGGGCUUAACCUGGGAACUGCGCUUGUUACUGGCAGACUUGAGUGUGGCAGAGGGGGGUGGAAUUCCAGGUGUAGCAGUGAAAUGCGUAGAUAUCUGGAGGAACACCGAUGGCGAAGGCAGCCCCCUGGGCUAACACUGACGCUGAUGCACGAAAGCGUGGGGAGCAAACAGGAUUAGAUACCCUGGUAGUCCACGCCCUAAACUAUGUCAACUGGUUGUCGGGGAAGAAAUUCCUUGGUAACGAAGCUAACGCGUGAAGUUGACCGCCUGGGGAGUACGGCCGCAAGGUUA
rnacentral:rRNA from 1 species